AAUGAAUUUCUUUCAAGAGAACUAAUUGAAAAAGGAAGAGAUUUAGAAAGAAGUAAGACAGUAAUAACUAAAUUUCAAAAUAGAUGUAAGUUACUGUCCUCACUUAUUUUUCCAUAUACUUAUUUCUUAUAUAUUGAAAAUUAAUCAGUCUGAAAGUUCUUUAAUACAUGCUUCGUCACUCUGUAUUAUCUGUUAUUACCCUCAUAAUCUAUAUAGUUCAUUCUCUGCUGUUAAUCUAGUUGGUUUGCCUUGUUUUCAUUGUCAGGAAAUGAUGUUCUAAAUUUUUUGUAACGGUGUUUGCUUAGUUUUUCUUUUGUGUUCUUUGGUGAAAGUAAAGUGAGAAAACUGAAUUUAAAAUAUUUAAAGGUAAAACACAGAUUAUGUUAAGCUGAUUUAUUUCAGCUAUGAGGUAGAUAUAUAUGUAUGUGUACAUGAUUUAAAUAGUUCUGUCAUUCAACUGAACUAUUCAUGUUGGAUUUGUACUUGAAUUUUUUGUUUUGAAUUUUGCCAGUGGUUAUUUUUUCUAUAUGUUAAAUAUUUGUCAUCUGUGUAGAAUAAUAUAUAUUGUAUAAAAGAUAUAUUCAUUCAAUGAGAAAAAUGUACUUACAGUAAAAGAAUUAGUAGAAGAAAAUAAGCAACUUGAAGAAGGUAUGAAAGAAAUAUUGCAAGCUAUCAAGGAAAUGCAGAAAGAUCCUGAUAUUAAGGGAGGAGAAACAUCUCUAAUUAUCCCUAGUCUUGAAAGACUAGUUAAUGCUAUAGAAUCAAAGAAUGCGGAAGGAAUCUUUGAUGCCAGUCUGCAUUUGAAAGCCCAAGUUGAUCAACUUACUGGAAGGAAUGAAGAAUUAAGACAAGAGCUUAAAGAAUCUCGGAAAGAAGCUAUAAAUUACUCACAGCAGUUGGCAAAAGCAAAUUUAAAGGUGAGAAUCUUAUGAAAGAAGAGAAAACACUAAGCAACAAACAUAUGUUUAGAAGAAAAAAAAAAUUUGAGCUGCUUUGUGAGAAAAUCUCCCUUGAAUUACUUACUUCAACAUUAAGAAGACUUUCAAUUAUUCUUACAAAAUAAAAUGGAAAAAUAAAUGCCUUGUAAGAUAAAAAAUGGCAAAAAUAUUCUGUGUCUUACAUUUAGGCAUUUUUAAGUAAAAAUUAGAGUAUCAUUUAAUUUUUGGUAGAACAGUCAUUUACCUACUUUUAAAAAAUGCUCAGUUGGGGCCCAGGGAUCUAGCUCAGUGGUUCCGCCGCCUGCCUCGCAAGCAGAAGGACCCGAGUUCGAUCCCCGGUACCAAAAAAAAAAAUACUCACUUGAAAUAGUAUAAAGUAAAGUUAUUGCUUUUCAGUUUGUCUUUCUUUGGAUAUAAGAGAUGUGGUUCUCAUCCCUGUCUUAUUUGUUUCCAGAUAGAUCAUCUUGAGAAAGAAAUCAGUCUUCUAAGGCAAUCAGAAGGAUCUCAUGUUGUUUAUAAAGGGUUAGACUUACCUGAUGGGGUAGCACCAUCAAGUGCUAGCAUCAUUAAUUCUCAGAACGAAUAUUUAAUACAUCUCUUACAGGUACUGAACAUUUCAAAUGUCUAUAGCAAAAAUCAUUGAUUGUAUGUUUCUUAAUUUAUUCUUUGGGUAUUCCUUUGAGUUUUCAGAAAAUUAAUAGUGAGACAUAUUAUUAAAGGAUUAUGAUGUUAAUGGAAUAGUAUA
rnacentral:lncRNA from 1 species